UACGUAGGGGGCAAGCGUUGUCCGGAUUUAUUGGGCGUAAAGAGCGUGUAGGCGGCCUGAAAGGUCAGCUGUGAAAACUCGAGGCUCAACCUCGAGACGUCGGUUGAAACCAUCUGGCUAGAGUCCGGAAGAGGAGAGUGGAAUUCCCGGUGUAGCGGUGAAAUGCGCAGAUAUCGGGAAGAACACCCGUGGCGAAGGCGGCUCUCUGGGACGGUACUGACGCUGAGACGCGAAAGCGUGGGGGAGCGAACAGG
rnacentral:rRNA from 1 species